rnacentral:pre_miRNA from 1 species
UCUUAAUUUCACGUGCUCUCUCGCCGGUCAGAGAGGCAAGAGAGCAUGCGAAAUGAGGAGA